GCCGGGAUGGCGGAACUGGCAGACGCAGCGGACUCAAAAUCCGCCGGGCUUCGGCCCAUGGGGGUUCAAGUCCCCCUCCCGGCACCA
rnacentral:tRNA from 1 species